rnacentral:tRNA from 1 species
GCCCGGAUAGCUCAGUCGGUAGAGCAGAGGAUUGAAAAUCCUCGUGUCGGUGGUUCGAUU